UAUUAUUUUAGCGGCGGACGGGUGAGUAACGUGUGGGCAACCUACCUUUUACUGUGGAAUAAUCGUUGGAAACGACGACUAAUACCGCAUACGAUUUUCUGAAGGCAUCUUUGGGAAAGGAAAGGAAAUAUUCGGUAAAAGAUGGGCCCGCAUCUGAUUAGCUAGUUGGUGAGAUAAUAGCCCACCAAGGCAACGAUCAGUAGCCGACCUGAGAGGGUGACCGGCCACAUUGGGACUGAGACACGGCCCAAACUCCUACGGGAGGCAGCAG
rnacentral:rRNA from 1 species